GUGGCUUUCUGUCUCCGCUCUGCUUCCGUUAUUGUCAUUGGAUGCAGUGGGAAAAAUCCAGCCAAUCCUACUCGGAGGAAACAAAGAUCAGUGUCGCAGAAUGUGUGGUAAAGGUGAAGAGAGUUUGGCUUCACGAGUCAUGGAUCAAAUGAUCUGUUUUAUCUGUCAUGGGCUUGUGGAUGGAUUCACUGAAACUAAUUCGGACUGCAUGCAAAAUGGAUCCUGCCACUUUCAUCAUGGGUGAUAAGGCAUUCUGGCAAUGCAGAGGACUAUCUUUUCAACUGCUGUUUACCAAUAAGUGUCUAAGACGUCUGCAGCUCGCCUUGAUCGGCCCCCACAUUCCUGUGUUCCUUAAGGAGUCCCCUCAAACACGAGGGGUUCUUCUCCUCCACUCCACUCCAUCUCUGCAAUCCAGCCGGCCUCCUACUGCGCUCCUCUAAAGCCUGUCAGAGGGGGGAGUCUCCAGAUGCAUGUGCUUCC